rnacentral:rRNA from 1 species
AUUGAACGCUGGCGGCAUGCCUAACACAUGCAAGUCGAGCGGAGCGGCGGACGGGUGAGUAAUGCCUAGGAAUCUGCCUUGUAGUGGGGGAUAACGUCCGGAAACGGGCGCUAAUACCGCAUACUUUCUGAUGAGCCUAGGUCGGAUUAGCUAGUUGGUGAGUUAAAGGCCUACCAAGGCGACGAUGCGUACCUGGUCUGAGAGGGUGAUCAGUCACACUGGAACUGAGACACGGUCCAGACUCCUACGGGAGGCAGCAGUGGGGAAUAUUGGGCAAUGGGCGAAAGCCUGAUCCAGCCAUGCCGCGUGUGUGAAGAAGGUCUUCGGAUUGUAAAGCACUGUUAGUAGGGAAGCGUUACCUACAGAAUAAGCAACGGCUAACUUCGUGCCAGCAGCCGCGGUAAUUC